rnacentral:rRNA from 1 species
UACGUAGGGUGCGAGCGUUAAUCGGAAUUACUGGGCGUAAAGGGCGCGCAGGCGGCUCUUCAAGUCAGGCGUGAAAGCCCCGGGCUUAACCUGGGAAUUGCGCUUGGGACUGGAGGGCUUGAGUACGGGAGAGGAGAGUGGAAUUCCCAGUGUAGAGGUGAAAUUCGUAGAUAUUGGGAAGAACACCGGUGGCGAAGGCGGCUCUCUGGACCGUAACUGACGCUGAGGCGCGAAAGCGUGGGGAGCAAACAGG